GACGAACGCUGGCGGCGUGCUUAAUACAUGCAAGUCAACUGAACUUAAGAUAGCAAUAUUUUAAGGGAGGUGGCGCACGGGUGAGUAACACGUAGGUAAUCUGCCUUUAGGUCUGACAUAACCUACCGAAAGGUAGGCUAAAAUCAGAUGAUGCAGCGGCUCGACAUCGAGACAGUUGUUAAAUCUUCGGAGCCUAGAGAUGAGCCUGCGUCUGAUUAGGUAGUUGGCGGAGUAAUAGCCCACCAAGCCUGCGAUCAGUAGCUGGUCUGAGAGGAUGAUCAGCCACACUGGAACUGAGACACGGUCCAGACUCCUACGGGAGGCAGCAGUAAGGAAUAUUGCUCAAUGGCCGAAAGGCUGAAGCAGCAACGCCGCGUGGAGGAUG
rnacentral:rRNA from 1 species